GUCAGGAACCGAGCGCUGCGCAGGAGCCGCUGAUUCCUGCUAGUAUAGAGAGCCUGGCUAUAGUUCGGUUUAAAAAUGUAUACUAGGAGUUACUAUCGCAAGGAAAAUGCUGCCAAUAUGUACAUGUAGGAUGUGCUACAAAAAGAGCGUUUUUCACUGUAUGUAUGAUUUAUUGUCUUACACAUCGUCGUUCCUCAGUUACCUUCGUACAAUUAUAUCUUACAUCUAAUCUUAUGAAAAGUAUAUUUUAAUAUACUUAACAGUGCGACUUUGAUAGUUGACACAUAAUACAAAUGAUAAAAUGUGAAUAUUAUUGAAUGAUUUUGACACUCA